UGCUCUGAUGAGAUCACUAACAGGAAGUGCCGUCAGAAUCGAUAAAUGACGAUAACUCCUGGCUGACU